CUCUUGCAGGGUCUAGCAAGCUAUUAACAUAGCAGGGGAUAAGAAAAUCUUAAUUAAACAGAACUUGCAAUAAAGAAAGCCUAAAUAGGGCUCUCUUUACAGGAAGUGUUUAUGGAAGGCUGUGCAAGUCACGUGAAGGGAGGUGUGACUAGGGUUCAUAAACAAAGGGAUUUAGCUCCUAAAUGGCAGAGGAUUGAGCAGUGAG